UUUUGGCGCAGUUGCAUUUUUUGGUAAACUUCAUUCUGGAUGUGGAAUUAAUGUGUAAAAAAUUUUCAGAUGGCCCGAGUGUUUUACCCUCUUUUGAAUAACUGUCUGCUUUACAAUGAAAUACUGUAACUGGCCUUCACCUUGACAUUCUUCUAGUUAGUACUUAGCAUUGUAUAUUUGGGUGGGGGGAUCUUAAUCUUCUUUGGCUCUCUCCUUCAGAUUAGUUGACAUGAUAUGAUGUAUAAUUAAGCUAUGGUUGA
rnacentral:misc_RNA from 1 species